rnacentral:rRNA from 1 species
AGUGGCGCACGGGUGAGUAACGCGUGGGUAAUCUACCUUCAAAUCGGGGAUAACAUUGCGAAAGCGAUGCUAAUACCGGAUAAUAUCUAAUGAACUUCGGUUCAUAAGAUCAAAGGUGGCCUCUAUAUAUAAGCUUCCGUUUGAAGAUGAGCCCGCGUACCAUUAGCUAGUUGGUAGGGUAAAGGCCUACCAAGGCGACGAUGGUUAGCUGGUCUGAGAGGAUGAUCAGCCACACUGGAACUGACACACGGUCCAGACUCCUACGGGAGGCAGCAGUGAGGAAUUUUGCGCAAUGGGGGAAACCCUGACGCAGCAACGCCGCGUGAGUGAUGAAGGCUUUCGGGUCGUAAAGCUCUGUCAAGUGGGAAGAAAAUGCGAAAUGUUAAUAUCAUUUUGCACUGACGGUACCACUGAAGGAAGCACCGGCUAACUCCGUGCCAGCAGCCGCGGUAAUACGGGGGGUGCAAGCGUUAUUCGGAAUUAUUGGGCGUAAAGAGCGCGUAGGCGGUCUUUUAAGUCAGAUGUGAAAGCCCGGGGCUUAACCCCGGAAGUGCAUUUGAAACUAAGGGACUUGAGUAUGGGAGAGGGAAGUGGAAUUCCUGGUGU